GUCUAUGGCCAUGCCACCUUGAACAAGCCCGAUCCCAUCUCGUCUUGGAAGCUAAGCAGGGUUGGGCCUAGUUACUACCUGGAUGGGAGACCAUCUAGAAAGACCAGGUGCUAU
rnacentral:rRNA from 1 species